ACAUAUGGCUUCCAAGUAACGUUAAGAACACUAUCUCAACAAGUAAACCAAAAAAUUGUUGAAAAAAAAUGUGUGUGUGCCUCCUUUGAACCAUCUGCGAUUGGAAAUUUCACUAAGCCACGAAACAUCUUAUUAGGUAGUAUUGAAGGAUUUGAGAGCACUUGAAAAUGAUGCGUGAAACAACAUCGUCCCAAAACGUAAGUGUUGCUAAGUGGCUUUGGUACUCGUUCUGUACAACGAGCGACAAAUGAUCUGUAAGUAGCGAAAUCAAAAAUUCGCAAUGUUGAAAAGCCUAGACAUGAUGAUUGAUGAAUGUGCGUAAUAUGAAAAUAUCCAAGUCAUGUUCAUUGCAUAUAAUAGAUGGACUCUAUAGCAACCUUGCUUGUUAGUGUAAGCCUCUGACAGCAUCAGUAGCGAAAUGCCUAAAAGUUUAAAAAAAAAUUCCGACAUUCAGUAAAUACACGCAUGAGACAGUCGAAAUGUGUAAGAGUCAAAUGAAUUUGUAAUUGUAAAUGUUUAUGUAAAAACUAGACAGCGCAAAAUAACAUCGUAGUGGAACAACAUGAAUGAAUAUUU